rnacentral:rRNA from 1 species
GAUGAACGCUGGCGGCGUGCUUAACACAUGCAAGUCGAACGGAAAGGCCCAAGCUUGCUUGGGUACUCGAGUGGCGAACGGGUGAGUAACACGUGGGUGAUCUGCCCUGCACUUCGGGAUAAGCCUGGGAAACUGGGUCUAAUACCGGAUAGGACGAUGGUUUGGAUGCCAUUGUGGAAAGUUUUUUCGGUGUGGGAUGAGCUCGCGGCCUAUCAGCUUGUUGGUGGGGUAAUGGCCUACCAAGGCGUCGACGGGUAGCCGGCCUGAGAGGGUGUACGGCCACAUUGGGACUGAGAUACGGCCCAGACUCUUACGGGAGGCAGCAGUGGGGAAUAUUGCACAAUGGGCGCAAGCCUGAUGCAGCGACGCCGCGUGGGGGAUGACGGCCUUCGGGUUGUAAACUCCUGUCGCUAGGGACGAAGCGUUUUUGUGACGGUACCUGGAGAAGAAGCACCGGCUAACUACGUG